GACGAAGGGGGCUAGCGUUGUUCGGAAUUACUGGGCGUAAAGGGCGCGUAGGCGGCCUGCUAAGUCGAACGUGAAAUCCCCGAGCUCAACUCGGGAACUGCGUCCGAUACUGGCAGGCUUGAAUCCGGGAGAGGGAUGCGGAAUUCCAGGUGUAGCGGUGAAAUGCGUAGAUAUCUGGAGGAACACCGGUGGCGAAGGCGGCAUCCUGGACCGGCAUUGACGCUGAGGCGCGAAAGCCAGGGGAGCCAAAGCGGG
rnacentral:rRNA from 1 species